UACGUAGGAGGCAAGCGUUUGUCCGGAAUUACUGGGCGUAAAGCGCGUGUAGGUGGUGGGACAAGUCUGCUGUGAAAGCGCCUGGCUUAACCGGGCGAGGUCGGCGGAAACUGUCGCACUCGAGGACGGUAGAGGGGGGUGGAAUUCCCGGUGUAGUGGUGAAAUGCGUAGAGAUCGGGAGGAACACCUGUGGCGAAAGCGGCGCACUGGACCACAACUGACGCUGAGGCGCGAAAGCUAGGGGAGCAAACAGG
rnacentral:rRNA from 1 species